GACGAACCGUGCAAACGUUAUUCGGAAUCACUGGGCUUAAAGGGCGCGUAGGCGGGCCGCCAGGUCCGGGGUGAAAGCCUCCAGCUCAACUGGAGAAGUGCCUUGGAUACCGGCGGCCUUGAGGGAGGUAGGGCGUGCGGAACUUCGGGUGGAGCGGUGAAAUGCGUAGAUAUCCGAAGGAACACCGGUGGCGAAAGCGGCGCGCUGGAUCUCUUCUGACGCUGAGGCGCGAAAGCCAGGGGAGCAAACGGG
rnacentral:rRNA from 1 species